rnacentral:snRNA from 1 species
UGGCCCUCCAACUCUUUCAGCAAUUUGUCCAGCAAGUUUUCUUUGCCAGAAAACCACC